rnacentral:lncRNA from 1 species
ACUUAGGGAGCUACCAUUUGAUUUUUAUAGGGGGCUAGGAUGAAAUUUGAAAAAAUAGGCAGGACAGGAGUUUUGAGUAAAAAAAAAGGCAGGAUGAGACAAUUGCCAAAAAAAAAAAAAAAGUCAGGACGACAAUUUAGGUAAAAAAAAGUCAGGAUAAACUAAAAAACAAAAGCAGGACCAAACAGAGUGAAAAAUAAAAAGGCAGGACAGAGAUUACAGCUAAAAAAAAUGCAGGACAAAAUUUUUCAUCCUAGCCCCCCAUAAAAAUCAAAUGGUAGCUCCCUUA